AUUGAACGCUGGCGGCAUGCUUUACACAUGCAAGUCGAACGGCAGCGCGGGCUUCGGCCUGGCGGCGAGUGGCGAACGGGUGAGUAAUGCAUCGGAACGUGCCCAGUAGUGGGGGAUAGCCCGGCGAAAGCCGGAUUAAUACCGCAUACGACCUGAGGGUGAAAGCGGGGGACCGAAAGGCCUCGCGCUAUUGGAGCGGCCGAUGUCGGAUUAGCUAGUUGGUGGGGUAAAGGCUUACCAAGGCGACGAUCCGUAGCUGGUCUGAGAGGACGACCAGCCACACUGGGACUGAGACACGGCCCAGACUCCUACGAGAGGCAGCAGUGGGGAAUUUUGGACAAUGGGGGCAACCCUGAUCCAGCCAUGCCGCGUGCGGGAAGAAGGCCUUCGGGUGGUAAACCGCUUUUGUUCGGGAAGAAAUCCUCUGGGCUAAUACCCCGGGGGGAUGACGGUACCGGAAGAAUAAGCACCGGCUAACUACGU
rnacentral:rRNA from 1 species